GGGGCGUCUAACGCAGAAUUUUCACGGUCCCGCCAGUAGAUGACCGCCACGUGGGUAUGUGGCUCGCAAGCGACACGGCUUUGUGGGACCCGGGUGAAUCAUGCGUUCGGGGAGCGGCGCGAUGGACGGUGAUGGAGCCUGACGUGGGAGUAGGAAUUAGAAUUCUGGGUGGAGCAGAUCCCCCGGGGAGAGGGAAAAGCCUCUCUGGAACCAACCCGGCGCGGAC
rnacentral:lncRNA from 1 species